AGCUUUGCGCAGUGGCAGUAUCGUAGCCAAUGAGGUUUAUCCGAGGCGCGAUUAUUGCUAAUUAAACAACCUAAAGAUCGAGUAACGAGGGGAUGGAAGAGGUAAUCACAGUUAGAACAAAUGUAGAUAAGGAAAUAUUUCU